CUAUAGCUCCCGCUAUUUUCGGGCAAUAUGGCCCCAAAACGCACUUUCUAGCACUGAGUCACGGCAGGCAACUGCACUAUGAGGUGCUAGGACCGGAGAUCAGUCAGCAACCCGCUUCUGGGCCCGUGUUUGGCGCGAAAACGGAGCUUCGAGACCGAGGCCUAGUCAACCUAUCCGGGUGGUGAGUGGGGCGGACGGCCGCUGCCCUGCUAUCCUACCUGGCUG